rnacentral:rRNA from 1 species
AGAGUUUGAUCCUGGCUCAGGACGAACGUUGGCGGCGUGCUUAACACAUGCAAGUCGAGCGGGGCUUAGUUGAAAGUUUACUUUUUACUGAGUCUAGCGGCGGUGAGUAACGCGUGGAUAAUCUGCCUGUAAGACAGGGAUAACGCCGGGAAACCGGUGCUAAUACCGGAUAACCUCUUUGAAUCGCAUGAUUUAAAGAGAAAAGGUGGCCUCUUUACAAUGCUGCCACUUACAGAUGAAUCCGCGUCCCAUUAGCCAGUUGGUGGGGUAAUGGCCUACCAAAGCGACGAUGGGUAGCCGGCCUGAGAGGGUGACCGGCCACACUGGAACUGAGAUACGGUCCAGACUCCUACGGGAGGCAGCAGUGGGGAAUCUUCCGCAAUGGGCGAAAGCCUGACGGAGCAACGCCGCGUGAGCGAAGAAGGUCUUCGGAUUGUAAAGCUCUGUCCUUGGUGAAGAAAAAUGACGGUACAAUAAGAGGAAGCCCCGGCUAACUACGUGCCAGCAGCCGCGGUAAUACGUAGGGGGCGAGCGUUGUCCGGAUUUACUGGGCGUAAAGGGUGAGUAGGCGGUAAUAUGUGUCUUUGGUGAAAGGCUACGGCUUAACCGUAGUAAGCCUUAGGAACUGUAAGUCUUGAGUGCAGGAGAGGAAAGUGGAAUUCCUAGUGUAGCGGUGAAAUGCGUAGAUAUUAGGAGGAACACCAGUGGCGAAGGCGACUUACUGGACUGUAACUGACGCUGAGUCACGAAAGCGUGGGUAGCAAACAGGAUUAGAUACCCUGGUAGUCCACGCUGUAAACGAUGAGUGCUAGGUGUUGGGUAGCGAUAAAUUCAGUGCUGCAGUUAACGCAAUAAGUAUUCCGCCUGGGGAGUAUGCACGCAAGUGUGAAACUCAAAGGAAUUGACGGGGACCCGCACAAGCGGCGGAGCAUGUGGUUUAAUUCGAAGCAACGCGAAGAACCUUACCAGGUCUUGACAUCUCUCUGAUCGACUCUUAGAUGUGUCCUCCCCUUCGGGGGCAAGGGAGACAGGUGGUGCAUGGUUGUCGUCAGCUCGUGUCGUGAGAUGUUGGGUUAAGUCCCGCAACGAGCGCAACCCUUAUCAUUAGUUGCCAGCGAGUAAUGUUGGGGACUCUAAUGAGACUGCCGGGGAUAACUCGGAGGAAGGUGGGGACGACGUCAAAUCAUCAUGCCCCUUAUGUCUUGGGCUACACACGUGCUACAAUGGCCGGUACAAAGGGCUGCAAACCCGCAAGGGGGAGCGAAUCCCAUAAAGCCGGUCUCAGUUCGGAUCGUGGGCUGCAACCCGCCCACGUGAAGCCGGAGUUGCUAGUAAUCGCGAAUCAGCAUGUCGCGGUGAAUGCGUUCCCGGGUCUUGUACACACCGCCCGCCACACCAUGGGAGUUGGGAGCGCCCGAAGCCAGUGAGCUAACCGCAAGGAGGCAGCUGUCGAAGGCGAGAUCAAUGACUGGGGUGAAGUCGUAACAAGGUAACC